GCGGGCGUAGCUCAGUGGUAGAGCUCCUGCUUCCCAAGCAGGUGGUCGUGGGUUCGAGCCCCAUCGCCCGCUCCA
rnacentral:tRNA from 2 species